rnacentral:lncRNA from 1 species
UGAAGGUGAAGAAAUGAGACAGGCCAUGGAAGAAUUGCUUUAUGAGGCUCGUGUUGACUUGGUUUUUUCAGGGCAUGUCCAUGCAUACGAACGCUUUGUAUGUCAUAUUAAUAUUCAUCAUGCCACGAUUCUUUACCAAAAAAAUUGAGACAUCGGAGAAAAUUUAGAAACACAAAAAUAUGAAAUCUAUCUCUAAUUUCGUCCCUAAAUAUUAGAGGCGCUAAAUUUAUAGAUACAUGUUUCGGUGUUUGUCUCUAAUUUUUGUCACAAUUGCAACUUUUCCUUAUUUUUCUUAUUAUAUUUUUUAAAAUCUUUCUAAUUACUUUGAUCCCUUGCAGACUAGAAUCUAUGACAAUAAGGCUGAUCCAUGUGGUCCGUUGUACGUGACAAUUGGUGAUGGAGGAAACCGUGAAGGACUUGCAUUAAAGUGAGUGACAAAAAGUUUAUUUUACUAUCUAAGCUAAUAUUGUUAACCUACAUAUAUUUUUAAUUUUUUUUCUUCUUAUAUUUGUAUAUUUAUAUUUAUGCACAUGUCCAUGUUAAUUGUUGGAUUGUAUAGGUUUAAGAAGCCUCCAAGUCCACUCUCAUUGUAUAGAGAGGCAAGCUUUGGUCAUGGAAGGUUGAGAAUAGUGAACGAAACACAUGCAAAUUGGUCAUGGCAUCGUAACAAUGAUAGUGAAGCAUUUGUAGCUGAAGAUAUAUGGAUCAAGAGUUUGAGCAACACAAAAGAAUGUUGGGAGAGCAUAGGGCAACAAAUUUCUCAUGAAGAGCUCUAAGAUAUAGAAAAGAUAUAGAAGCUUCAUUUAUUAGUUUGUAGUUGAUUUAUUCAUAUUGAAGAGAUUAAUUUCUUCUACUCACUCACAUUGUAAAACUUUUUCCAACUACAUGUGCAAUAAAGUUUUACAUGUUGAAUGCAAAUUAAAUUUUAUAUUUAAGGUUUUUUCUAGAUUACCUUUGAAGAAUGGUGGGUAAUUUACCCACCAACCAAUGAAAAUGAACAAUUUGUUGGUGGGGUCAAGAUAGUUCAUGGAUACCACUUAAAAAUUUGUUUAUGUGGCUAAUGUGUAUUGGUUGGGAUAAAUUACCCACCAUUCUUCCAUGGGUACCCUAGUUGUCACCAUUAUUUAAUUGUUGGGUAAAAUAAAUCAAACAUCAUUAGAAGAAUUAAAAAAGUUACAAGAAUUAAAAAGUUAGAGUCACGCAACGCAACUCAUAUGGUAAAACAUUGUAAGAACGUUUGAUAUUUAGGGUCACCACUUUUUAUUCUUUAGUGUAUGAGUUUCUUUAAUGAACUCUAUAUUUUAAGCAUAUGUUGCAAUUCCAAAAUAUCUUUCUCUCUUAUGCUUUGCGACACUGUUUAUGAAGAAAAAGAGAGCCUUCUUUUUCGAUUUAUUUAUUCAUUUCGCACAAAGAAACCCUUGUUUUUCCAUUAUCCAAUCAAAAGUGUGGGUUUUUCCUUUAAUCAGAGUGAACCUCACUUUAUCAAAUGAGUAAGUCUUGUAUAUCGUACCAAAUAUACAAUGUUUAAGCACAUAUAUUUAAAUGACUUUUUCUUCCUUAAAAAAAAAAAAAAACUUUUUAUAAUAAUAAAAUAAAAUAGAUAAAAAUUUGAUUUGACAUUUUAGGGAUAAGAGUUUCUUUGUGUAUCCAAACACUAUGUGUUUGAUCUUGUAACCAUACAAGAUUUGUUCAAAUAUAGCAAACAUAGUUAUUUAAUUGUUCUUUAGACACUUAUGACACAUGCACAUCAAACUAUUCGAAAUACCUCCUACAAUAAUUAAUUAUUGUUUGACAAACUUUAUAACUAAUUACACCGAUUUAAAAAAUAAUUUAAUCAACUUAAAAAGUAGUUGAACGGAAAUUAACUACCAUUUUAAAGCAAACGAGAGCUAAUUACCUAUGUGGGUUUAGGUUAAAAAGAAAUGUUGCUUGAAUAAUAGCGCCCGCAUGGAGAGAGUGAUUGCGAUUCGACGAUGCUAAGUUGACACCUAUGUGGGUUUAGGUUGUCAGAAAUAUCUACACAACAAAAAACAAUAAAAAAAAAUAAAAAAAAUUCAAUGAACAUCUUAUGGAGGCAUUUCAUCAAAACAUUUAGAAUGCAAAAUAUACAUUGAGUUUAUUUUGUUAUUUCAAUUUCUAAACUACCACAUUGCACUUAAUCUUACUCUUAUUAACAGUCACAGUUCAAACAUGUAAGCAUUUGAUCAUUAACUGCCAAACUGACAAUUUCAUAAACCCUAAAAACUAACACAUGACAACUUUAAACAAAAAAAUCUAACAUUUAAAACAAAACGACUCUAUGCAAAAGAUCAUGAACACUUACUUGUAGUUGAGGUUAAAGUUGAACUUGAUUUGCUUGAAGUUGAAGAAAUUUGAUUAGCUUGAGUAUGGAGGGAGAAUUUUGAUUGAAGUAGUGUUUUGAAAGAAUCAGUUAACGGCUGUUGCUAUUCUGGAAUAAACCAAAACGCUGCGGCAAUUAACCGUCGUUUGGGGUGAGCAAUAGUUAACUGCCGUUGAGUUCAAUUAGGUAAUUUUGGGGUGUUAAUGCAAUUCUAAAGUUAGAAGAACAAUUUUCCUGAUACAAAGGGGCAGAUAUACAGUUGGCUUUGAAGCCCAUAGCCCGACCUUUGCUGCUCGUAGUAUGAAAUGUAUAGGAUUGGUGUUAGCAUGAAUGUAUGUAUGUAUGUAUGUAUGCAUGCAUGCAUGUAUCUAUUUGUGUGUGUGUCAUGUACGUUAGUAUUAUCAAUAGUCAUGAUAUAUAAAAGUAUGAUGGCUACUAGCUGCAUAAUUAAGCCACUAUAUAAUGGAUUUAAUUUUUUUAGUUACAAUGUAGUGAAUAUAACGAAAACACCAUGAUAAAUGUGAAGAAUUUAGGGAGACCUCGAAUAAUAGAGGGAUCUCUCUUUCUAAGGCAGUGUCCAGAGGAACUUGUUGAAAUAUUAUGAACUAUGUGUAUAUUUAUGUAUAUGUGAUAUCAUGAAGCUAUCAGGUGCAUUACUUAUUAUUAGCUUAUGAAUCUAAAGUAAGGACAGUUCGUCAUAAAGCCUAAAUGACACAGUUAUGAAUGUAUGGUUUUAUAAUAAGAAGAUUUCUUAAUAUGAGUUUUAAGCGAUGAUUUUCCGUUGAUGGUGUUUUAUGUUCUACCCCUUUUUGGGAAAUGAGAAAGUAUAUCUAAUCCCACAUUAUUAUUUUUUUCAGAUGUCAAUACACAUUGAAUGGUUGAGGGUUAUAACUACUUGUCAAUCAUUU